UACGUAGGGUGCGAGCGUUGUCCGGAAUUACUGGGCGUAAAGGGCUCGUAGGCGGCCAACUAAGUCAGACGUGAAAUCCCUCAGCUUAACUGGGGAACUGCGUCUGAUACUGGAUGGCUUGGAUUCGGGAGAGGAAUGCGGAAUUCCUGGUGUAGCGGUGAAAUGCGCAGAUAUCAGGAGGAACACCGGUGGCGAAGGCGGGUCUCUGGGCCGAUACUGACGCUGGAGGAGCGAAAGCGUGGGGAGCGAACAGG
rnacentral:rRNA from 1 species